AAGUCGUAACAAGGUUUCCGUAGGUGAACCUGCGGAAGGAUCAUUACCAAUGGUACGAAGGGGGUCGGCUUAUUUUUUUUUUCGGGUCGAUCCCCGGACUCCCUCACCCGAUGUUAUGCGGUACUUGUUGCUUUGGCGGACCUGCCACGCUUCCGUUUAAUUUACGGGGGUAGGCUGCCGGCACUUAGUCGGCUCGUGUCCGCCAGGGGACCUACCCAAAUUCGUCUUUUUUUUUUUUGACGUGUUUACCCCUUCUGAGUUGAUGGUUUUUUCAGGUUUCGACCUAGAAAAACUGUUUUUUUCAAAAACGAAUCAAAUUAAAACUUUCAACAACGGAUCUCUCGGCUCC
rnacentral:misc_RNA from 1 species